GCGCAAGCCUGACGGAGCGACGCCGCGUGCGGGAUGAAGGCCCUCGGGUUGUAAACCGCUGUCAGUGGGGAGCAAAUCCAUAGAGGUUAUCCUCUAUGGUCGAGCAAUCCGCAGAGGAAGCGCAGGCUAAGUUCGUGCCAGCAGCCGCGGUAACACGAACUGCGCGAACGUUAUUCGGAAUCACUGGGCUUAAAGAGUCCGUGGGCUGCUUGGCCGGUGGGGUGUGAAAUCCCACGGCUCAACCGUGGAACUGCGCUCCAAACCGCCAAGCUAGAGGGAGAUAGAGGAGAGCGGAACUGAUGGUGGAGCGGUGAAAUGCGUUGAUAUCAUCAGGAACACCGGUGGCGAAAGCGGCUCUCUGGGUCUCUUCUGACGCUGAGGGACGAAAGCUAGGGGAGCGAAAGGGAUUAGAUACCCCUG
rnacentral:rRNA from 1 species